CUUAUGAUUAAAAUACAAAAGUAUGAAUCUGAUAAAAAUGAUACAAAGAUCAAUACAAAGGUCUCUCUUGUUUCUGGAUUGCACAACAUCUUUACCAGUUCCAAUUCCCAUACUGGCUCGUAUGCUACCACUACCUUGUCCCAGCUAGGCAUAGCAUCUCUAGGAGACCGAUGCAAGGAAGAAACAAGACGGAUAGAGGAGUUGAUGCGGCGGAGGCCGGAGGAGACGGCGGCGUCGCCUUUCAGAAAGACUUCUUUCUUGUGUUAUAACUUACUCUGGAAUACUGCAUGGAAAAGAUGACAGAGGAAGAGAGUCGAACAUGGGAAUAUCCUUCCUUAUGAGCCUCUCAUCAAUCCCACACAACAGAGCAUAAGCCUGCCACAAAAAGAGAGAGAAGGAUCAAACCUUGAGAGUUUGUGAGAAUUGAAGAGUCUUGCUGCAUGAAGAGUUCGUCAUGAUUUGAAGACUGAUGAAGAACGAUGGCUAAAGAUGUGGAGCCCUCCUUUUGUGUUCCGAUUUUGAUGAGAGAGAGAGAGAGAGAGAGAGAGAGAAAAAGGUCAGACUUUUUUUUUUGAAAAAAGGCUUUCAUAUUAAAAACGUUAACUGUUACAAGAUAAGACACGAGUCUUAUAAUUUGAUAAAGUUUGCAUGAAACAUGAAACAAGUUUCAUGGAAAGAUUGAAUCUCAACCAAUGAAAAAUCAAAAGUUGAGACUAGAAUAACCAACACUGUAAUGAAAGGCAAUAACUAGUGAUAAGAACCAUGACCGCGGCGGCCACGCUUCCCUCUCCCUCGAACCGUCUUCCAUUCCAUGUCUUGGUAUUUACUAGGGGGUUUUGUUUCCCUCCCACCUCUUGUCAAGCUGAGCGAGCUAGAUGGCUCGGUCCCAUCUUCAUCCAAUCCCACAUCUCUUGACCCUUUGAACUGAGCAGGACUCUCAAAUGCAAAGGGUGUGUGUGUUGUGGCUAGAGGACCAACGACUAAAGUUUCACUAACCUCAGUGUUGAUAACGGUUGAUGGAGAUGACUCCAUAAUAAAUGCUGUAGUGGGAGUAGAUUGUGAAUCUACUAAUGUGGGUAAAGUGGGGAUAAAGUUUGGUGAGGCAGUCGGGUUCUCUCGUUGAAAGGUAGGAGUAGCUUCUAGUUCAGAUAAGAGACCUUCAAUCUCUAUGGUACGUUUCUCAGGCUCAUGGGCACUAUAAUCUUCAGUUGGUAGGGAAGCUUUUUCAUUAACAUGUAGAUCAUUUUUCUGGAUAGUUGGUGUAGAGUAUUCAACAUUAUCCUUUUGCUGCAUAACAGUAUCAAUGUUCACUAUAGGAACAUCAGAGCUAGUGUCUUGCGAGGUUGAUGCGGAGAUAGAAACCUGAGCAGUCGAAGAAGGUAACAAACACCUCUUUUCUUUGUGUCCUAGAUUACCACACCUCUCACACAUAGAUGGAAUCCAUGUAUACUCAACAUUAACAAGGAAGAUGUUACCUUGCUUAUCAUCAAGGGCAAUAAGCUUCGGAAAGUCUCUGUCCAGCUCCAUCUCAACUAAAACUUUUGCCUCGCCCAUACUAGUAGGAUCAAGUCGAGGUUUGUGCGUAAGAAUAGGUUCUCCAAGUCCAGAAGCAACAUGACUAAUUCCUAAUCUUGAGUAGCAACAAUCCGGAAUGUUCUUCAAAUUGGCCCAAACCGGAAGCGUGGAGAUUUCAGGGAUUUUGAAGGAGCCUUCUGGGGUCCAUGGCAGUACAAAAAGUAAGCAAUCAUCAAUGUGCCACACUCCACGCUGAAUAACCCAUUGACGGGUAGGUUGGUGUGGGAUAUGGAACAUGAAAGAUGAAUCGCCAAGCUUCUUACAACUGAUCUUACAACUUCUUCCCCAUAUUCUAUUCACCACAGCAUGUACUAAACCACCUGGCGGUAGAGCACAUUUAUGGAACUUGCCAAUGAUAUACUCAUCCUUAUUCUCUGGACCUAGCUUAAGCACUUUCGAAGGAAUAGAUACCUCAGGUGUGCCAUCAAUGCGGUAAGUUGGUGUGGCUGCCCGAUAGAGAUUACGCGAAUGAGGGCUUAAUCUCGCAGCCCAGGGGAAGCGGAGUCUCCCAUCCGCUUUUAGUUCCGGUGGUGGUAGCUUUUCAAUUGGGGGCUGGAGAGUACGAGAUGGAUACUUGCCCUUAGGUUGCUUGUUUAAGAUCUCGUCAUUUAAAGUCGGCCAGAGAGUGGCUAAUUGAUUCCCAACAAUUGCAGGAUCAUAGUCUCGUGGAGUACUAGGAUCAGGAGGAGUGGCUGGAGGUUUGAAAUAAAGGGGUUUGGCCCAUGAUCCCAUUGAUGGGAUAAAUUUUUCUUUAGCUUGAGCAAGGUUUUCAGAAGGAUCUGUUGGCGAUUUAUUAACCUCCGGCAUUGAUGUUUCCUGCAACUGUAUUGAUCCAGGGACAGGCAGCGAUAGGUUUUUGACCCCAAGCGAGGAUGGUUUCUGCAUCGAAGCAGACUGAGGAAGCACAUCCAGGACAGAUGGUGCAACACUGUUUUUAGCAAGUGAAUUCAUCAAGCUAUUAACGUGACAGUGUGAGCCAAAGGUCACUGGCGGAGCUAGCUUCGAUGACGAAUCAUCACCUGCAUUGUCGAUGUUAACUGAAGCCAGAUACUUUGAAGGAGAGUCACAUACAGGGACUGUAACAGCUUCUGAAGUCAGAGGAGAAAGAGGAGCCACAGGUUCUGAAAGAGGAAACACGGGUUCAAGCAGGGAGGUUGUGUUCGUCCCUAUCACCGGAUCCGUCGGUGGCAACGAAAACGACAAGGGCAGAGUCUGAUCAGUUUCAAUCUCCAAACCUUCGACUAACAGAGUCGAUGAAGACGAAGGAAGAGACAGAGAGUUGAAGCUUCUCGAUUUCCGAAGCGGCAAGAACGGAGGAAGAUCGAUCUCUGACGCCAUGAGAAGGGUCAAAGAGGAGGAGUAAGGUUUCUGGUGAGGCCUAUUGGCGACGACUCACACCGGAGGACACCGAACUUCUUUGUCGAUACUGGUUAGGUUUUCGCCUUCUUGGUCGCGAGAUUAGGGGCGCGUGGUUUUGUCACGCGCGUAAUAGAUUAGAUUAGAUUAAAAAAAGGUCAGACUUUUAACCUUGUUAAUAAUGCAUCUAGAACAACACUCACCGAAGAGGUCAGUAAGAAUGGAGGUCGAAGGAGACAGAGGAGUUGACGCGGUGGGAGAAGGAGACAGCGGGGCCGAGCUUGGGGCAAGUGCGGCGAGGCUGGAGAAAUAAAGAGCAGAGGGCUGAGUACUGCCAGCGGAGAUUUGGG
rnacentral:lncRNA from 1 species